UAAAGCAUGUAUAUGUAUAAAAGAAGAAAGGCAGGUCUACCAAAUGUGCAUGUAGAUAAACAGAUCAAAAGUAUUCACAAGAAACGAAAUGAAAUUCUUGGUUUUAGCAGUUGUAUCAGCAUUAUGCUUAGCAGCAUAUGCAGAAGAUAAAACACACUCAUGUUUUCCUCAAUUUGAAGUUGACUUCAACUUAGAUGGUUGUUACUCUGUCUGUAAAUCAAAAGGUUGUAUUGCUGGGAAUUCCGGAUGUGUCAACAACGGCCGAUGUUCCUGUGAUUGUCCUGAAAUCGGAGGAUAUGGAAAGUAGCUAUACAGAGCUGCAGCAGUGACGUCAAUUAUUAAAGAUCUAAUAAAACCUUAAAGAUUAUAAUAUGUG